rnacentral:rRNA from 1 species
UGGGGAAUAUUGCACAAUGGGCGCAAGCCUGAUGCAGCCAUGCCGCGUGUAUGAAGAAGGCCUUCGGGUUGUAAAGUACUUUCAGUCGGGAGGAAGGUGUCAAGGUUAAUAACCUUGGCAAUUGACGUUACCGACAGAAGAAGCACCGGCUAACUCCGUGCCAGCAGCCGCGGUAAUACGGAGGGUGCAAGCGUUAAUCGGAAUUACUGGGCGUAAAGCGCACGCAGGCGGUUUGUUAAGUCAGAUGUGAAAUCCCCGGGCUCAACCUGGGAACUGCAUCUGAUACUGGCAAGCCUGAGUCUCGUAGAGGCGGGUAGAAUUCCAGGUGUAGCGGUGACAUGCGUAGAGAUCUGGAGGAAUACCGGUGGCGAAGGCGGCCCCCUGGACGAAGACUGACGCUCAGGUGCGAAAGCGUGGGGAGCAAACAGG